AUAAAUAAAACUAUUUUAUUAUCUUUUUUAUGACUAAAAAUAAAAAGAUUAAAAUUAUAUUAAAAUAAAGUCAAGUAAAUAUUUUAAAAAUAUUAAAAUACCAAAACUAACUUUAAAAUUUGCGCGGGUCAAAAAUUACGUGUUUACAGCUGCCCCUCUUUGCUUGAAAACAUGAAGAGUUUUCGGAGCAAAGAACAAUAAGCAACGUAAUUUAUUUAUGACCCGAUGCUUAUUCAAAAGAAAAUAAAGGUGGCUAAAAAGAUUGUGACCGAGCCCUGGUAUCUGAGCUGCCUACAUAUCCUUGGCUAUAAAGGAAUCAGGCCACGUGUAGUUCAGAAGUGAAUGAGGUGAUGAAGAUACUGAGGUGGAGAGUCGAGUGAAGUGCCGUCGAGGUUCUGGUCCGCGGUUCCUGCCAUUACAUCAAAAAUAAAAGAAAAAAUUACAGCAAAGUGAAAGAAAAAUACAAGAUCCUAUCUACUUCUUGUAUUGAAUCUUCUUUGAAUCUCUAUUUGAUCUUCAACAUGAGACUGAAAAGUAGACCUUGUUCUUCAGGCGGGCUCCUGAUGGUUCUUAAAUUUGCGAAUUGAAGUAAGUCUGAAAUGAAUUCCCUUGUCCU
rnacentral:lncRNA from 1 species